rnacentral:rRNA from 1 species
AUUGAACGCUGGCGGAAUGCUUUACACAUGCAAGUCGAACGGUAGGGGGGGCAACCCCUCGAGAGUGGCGAACGGGUGAGUAAUAUAUCGGAACGUGCCCCGUCGUGGGGGAUGACGUAGCGAAAGUUACGCUAAUACCGCAUACGAUCUAAGGAUGAAAGCGGGGGAUCGCAAGACCUCGCGCGAUUGGAGCGGCCGAUAUCAGAUUAGGUAGUUGGUGGGGUAAAGGCUCACCAAGCCAACGAUCUGUAGCUGGUCUGAGAGGACGACCAGCCACACUGGAACUGAGACACGGUCCAGACUCCUACGGGAGGCAGCAGUGGGGAAUUUUGGACAAUGGACGCAAGUCUGAUCCAGCCAUUCCGCGUGCAGGAUGAAGGCCCUCGGGUUGUAAACUGCUUUUGUACGGAACGAAAAGGUCUCUCUUAAUACGGGGGGCUCAUGACGGUACCGUAAGAAUAAGCACCGGCUAACUACGUGCCAGCAGCCGCCGUAA